GUUAUGUUCAGAUCCUGUGUUACCGACCAGUCCGAGGAUCUACAGCGGAGCAGAGUCGUCCUUCAAGAAGUGUGUUCCGUCGUCUCCUCUGGGCUCAGUGAAUGAACGUCCGGACAGAGGUUUUCGACGCGCUGACAGUGAUAAUAGCUCCUCCCACUUCUCACAUUCCUCCAACAA